CACGUAGGGCGCAAGCGUUGUCCGGAAUUAUUGGGCGUAAAGAGCUCGUAGGCGGUCUGUUGCGUCCGCUGUGAAAACUCGGGGCUUAACCCCGAGCCUGCAGUGGAUACGGGCAGACUAGAGGUAGGUAGGGGAGAAUGGAAUUCCCGGUGUAGCGGUGAAAUGCGCAGUUAUCGGGAGGAACACCGGUGGCGAAGGCGGUUCUCUGGGCCUUACCUGACGCUGAGGAGCGAAAGCGUGGGGAGCGAACAGG
rnacentral:rRNA from 1 species